UGAGGAAUAUUGGUCAAUGGGCGGGAGCCUGAACCAGCCAAGCCGCGUGAGGGAUGAAGGCCCUAUGGGUCGUAAACCUCUUUUGUCAGGGAACAAAAGCGAGUAUGUAUACUAGUCUGAGUGUACCUGUAGAAAAAGCAUCGGCUAACUCCGUGCCAGCAGCCGCGGUAAUACGGAGGAUGCGAGCGUUAUCCGGAUUUAUUGGGUUUAAAGGGUGCGUAGGCGGCGGUGCAAGUCAGCGGUAAAAGCCCGGGGCUCAACCCCGGCGAGCCGUUGAAACUGCAGUGCUAGAGAAGGCGAGAGGUACGCGGAAUGCGCAGUGUAGCGGUGAAAUGCUUAGAUAUUGCGCAGAACUCCGAUUGCGAAGGCAGCGUACUGGCGCCUGACUGACGCUGAGGCACGAAAGCGUGGGGAUCGAACAGGAUUAGAUACCC
rnacentral:rRNA from 1 species